CUGGUCUCCACAGAGCCUCUGCCCGUCCCGGGACACUCGCUACCUGGCGUUGGCGGUGGACCGCCCUGCGGGGGCCUGGC
ensembl:miRNA